rnacentral:misc_RNA from 1 species
GAUGAAGAACGCAGCGAAAUGCGAUAAGUAAUGUGAAUUGCAGAAUUCAGUGAAUCAUCGAAUCUUUGAACGCACAUUGCGCCCGCCAGUAUUCUGGCGGGCAUGCCUGUUCGAGCGUCAUUUCAACCAUCAAGCCCCCGGCUUGUGUUGGGGACCUGCGGCUGCCGCAGGCCCUGAAAACCAGUGGCGGGCUCGCUAGUCACUCCGAGCGUAGUAGUUACAUCUCGCUCAGGGCGUGCUGCGGGUUCCGGCCGUUAAAAGCCUUAUUUACCCAAGGUUGACCUCGGAUCAGGUAGGAAGACCCGCUGAACUUAAGCAUAUCAAUAAGCGAGGA